UUUCCGUAGGUGAACCUGCGGAAGGAUCAUUAACGAGUUUUGAAAUGGGUUGUUGCUGGCCUUCCGAGGCAUGUGCACGCCCUGCUCAUCCACUCUACACCUGUGCACUUACUGUAGGUUGGCGUGGGUUUCUAGCCUCCGGGCUGGGAGCAUUCUGCCGGCCUAUGUACACUACAAACUCUAAAGUAUCAGAAUGUAAACGCGUCUAACGCAUCUUAAUACAACUUUCAGCAACGGAUCUCUUGGCUCUCGCAUCGAUGAAGAACGCAGC
rnacentral:misc_RNA from 1 species